CCAAGAACUCAGCCCUUACCCACGAGGACGAGCCCCAAGGACAGAAAACAGAAAACACUGCCUCUUCCACUGUACCAUGGACUCCAGGCUCUUCUCCUGCAUGAUGCUCUGUCUCCUGGGAGCAGGACCAGUGGAGGCUGAAGUCAAACAAACGCCAAGACAGCUGAUCAAAGCAAGAGGGCAGAAAGUGACACUGAAUUGCACCCCGGACUCAGGGCACAACCGUGUGUUUUGGUAUCAACAGAACCUGGACCAAGGCCUGCAGUUCUUGUUUGACUAUUACUUAGAAAAACAGAAUGACAAAGGCAAUGUCCCAGACCGGUUCUCAGCUCACCAGUUCAGUGACUAUCGCUCUGAGCUGAGUGUGAGUGCCCUGGAGCUGGAGGACUCAGCUGUGUAUCUCUGUGCCAGCAGCUUGACACAGCCCUUCUGAGUCCCCAGCCUUCUGUGCAUAAACCU